rnacentral:rRNA from 1 species
GAUGAACGCUGGCUACAGGCUUAACACAUGCGAGUCGAGGGGAAACGACGGGGAAGCUUGCUUCCCCGGGCGUCGACCGGCGCACGGGUGAGUAACGCGUAUCCAACCUGCCUCUGACUGAGGGAUAACCCGUCGAAAGUCGGCCUAAUACCUCAUGGUAUCGUCUGCGGGCAUCCAACGACGAUUAAAGAUUUCAUCGGUCAGGGAUGGGGAUGCGUCUGAUUAGCUUGUUGGCGGGGUAACGGCCCACCAAGGCUACGAUCAGUAGGGGUUCUGAGAGGAAGGUCCCCCACAUUGGAACUGAGACACGGUCCAAACUCCUACGGGAGGCAGCAGUGAGGAAUAUUGGUCAAUGGGCGAGAGCCUGAACCAGCCAAGUAGCGUGCAGGAAGACGGCCCUAUGGGUUGUAAACUGCUUUUAUGCGGGGAUAAAGUGAGGGACGUGUCCCUCAUUGCAGGUACCGCAUGAAUAAGGACCGGCUAAUUCCGUG